GUCUAUGGCCAGGCCACCCUCAAUAAGCCCGCUGUCUGAUCUCGGAAGCUAAGCAGGGUCAGGCCUGGUUAGUACUUAGAUGGGAGACCACCUAGGAAUACCAGAUGCUGUAGACA
rnacentral:rRNA from 1 species